rnacentral:rRNA from 1 species
AUGACGUCAAGUCAGCAUGGCCUUUAUAUCCUGGGCUACACACACGCUACAAUGGUCUGUACAAUGGGUAGCCAAGCCGCGAGGCGGAGCCAAUCCUGAAAGCAGGCCUCAGUUCAGAUUGCAGUCUGCAACUCGACUGCAUGAAGCCGGAGUUGCUAGUAACCGCAGGUCAGCAAUACUGCGGUGAAUACGUUCCCGGGUCUU